rnacentral:tRNA from 1 species
GCCCUGGUGGUGGAACUGGUAGACACGCAGGACUUAAAAUCCUGUGUCCGAAAGGACGUACGGGUUCAAGUCCCGUCUGGGGUACAA